GCAAAAAAACAAAAUAUGUGUGAAUUUCAAUUGCUGCUCCGGUUCCCAAGUAACAAACCAACUACAAUAAUAACACAUGUGAACUGUGUGCGCAGACGUAAAGUGAAUUCAAUUGUGGUUGGCCAGUCCAAGCCAACAACUCUCAGCUGUUUAUAUUAUUUCUAUGUCUCUCUCUACCUGUUGCCCACUCACAUACACACACACACACACGCAAAGACAGCGACGCGACGGCGGCUAAAGAGAAAGCGCAGGGCCGCAGCUAGUUAGUGUGGCGCCCAAAGAAAAAUUGCAACAACGCGGGGUCACUGGACCAAGGCCACUUUGCCCCUGCCAUUAAGAUGCGCUCCUGAGCAAAAGAGGCAAAGCGAAGCGAACCAAAACAAGAUUGUUGUUGUUAUUGUUGCCCAGCGACAAAGAAUGCCGCAUGUUUAUAUGUAUGUAUUCAAGUGUGGAAAUGAGCAUAUAUGUGUUUGUGUGUGUGUGUGUGAGAUGGCCCGCAACGGGUUUGUUGGCCCGCUCAACGUCUCUUUGCUUGGCUCUUGUCAUUUCCACACAACGUCAGAAGCCAAGAAGCUGCGCAGUCGCAAUUUCGAAUUUGUCUCGGCAACAGACAAACUAAAUAAA